rnacentral:rRNA from 2 species
CUGACCUCAAAUCAGGUAGGAUUACCCGCUGAACUUAAGCAUAUCAAUAAGCGGAGGAAAAGAAACUAACAAGGAUUCCCCUAGUAACUGCGAGUGAAGCGGGAUAAGCUCAAAUUUAAAAUCUGGUAGCCUCGCUGCCCGAGUUGUAAUCUGGAGAAGUGCUUUCCGUGCUGGACCGUGUACAAGUCUCUUGGAACAGAGCGUCAUAGAGGGUGAGAAUCCCGUCUUUGACACGGACUACCAGUGCUUUGUGAUGCGCUCUCAAAGAGUCGAGUUGUUUGGGAAUGCAGCUCAAAAUGGGUGGUAAAUYCCAUCUAAAGCUAAAUAUUGGCGAGAGACCGAUAGCGAACAAGUACCGUGAGGGAAAGAUGAAAAGAACUUUGGAAAGAGAGUUAAACAGUACGUGAAAUUGCUGAAAGGGAAACGCUUGAAGUCAGUCGCGUUGGCCGGAACUCAGCCUGGCUUUGGCUUGGUGCAUUUUCUGGUCGACGGGUCAGCAUCAGUUUUGAUCGUCGGAUAAUGGUUGGGGGAAUGUGGCAUCUUCGGAUGUGUUAUAGCCCUCAGUCGCAUACGAUGGUUGGGACUGAGGAUCUCAGCACACCUUUAUGGUCGGGGUUCGCCCACGUUUGUGCUUAGGAUGCUGGCAUAAUGGCUUUAAACGACCCGUCUUGAAACACGGACCAAGGAGUCUAACAUGCGUGCGAGUGUUUGGGUGGAAAACCCGAGCGCGUAAUGAAAGUGAAAGUUGAGAUCCCUGUCGUGGGGAGCAUCGACGCCCGGACCAGACCUUCUGUGACGGCUCUGCGGUGGAGCAUGUAUGUUGGGACCCGAAAGAUGGUGAACUAUGCCUGAAUAGGGUGAAGCCAGAGGAAACUCUGGUGGAGGCUCGUAGCGAUUCUGACGUGCAAAUCGAUCGUCAAAUUUGG